rnacentral:rRNA from 1 species
UACGGAGGGAGCGAACGUUGUUCGGAUUUACUGGGCGUAAAGGGUGUGUAGGCGGUCUUACAAGUCAGGUGUGAAAGCCCCGGGCUCAACCCGGGAAGUGCACUUGAUACUGUUUGACUUGAGUACUGGAGAGGUUGGUGGAAUUCUCGGUGUAGAGGUGAAAUUCGUAGAUAUCGAGAGGAACACCUGUGGCGAAGGCGGCCAACUGGACAGAUACUGACGCUGAGACACGAAAGCGUGGGGAGCAAACAGG